GGACUACUGGGGUAUCUAAUCCCGUUUGCUCCCCUGGCUUUCGCGCCUCAGCGUCAGAAGAGAUCCAGCACGCCGCUUUCGCCACCGGCGUUCCUUCCGAUAUCUACGCAUUUCACCGCUCCACCGGAAGUUCCGCAUGCCCCUAUCUCCCUCUAGCCGGCCAGUAUCGGGGGCACUUUUCCGGUUGAGCCGAAAGAUUUCACCCCAGACUUGGUCGACCGCCUACGCGCCCUUUAAGCCCAGUGAAUCCGAACAACGUUCGCACGGUUCGUCUUACCGCGGCUGCUGGCAC
rnacentral:rRNA from 1 species